rnacentral:rRNA from 1 species
GACGUAGGGCGCAAGCGUUGUCCGGAUUUAUUGGGCGUAAAGAGCUCGUAGGCGGCUUGUCGCGUCGAAUGUGAAAACUCGGGGCUCAACUCCGAGCUUGCAUUCGAUACGGGCAGGCUAGAGUUCGGUAGGGGAGACUGGAAUUCCUGGUGUAGCGGUGAAAUGCGCAGAUAUCAGGAGGAACACCGGUGGCGAAGGCGGGUCUCUGGGCCGAUACUGACGCUGAGGAGCGAAAGCGUGGGGAGCGAACAGG